GUGCACUGCACCAUGUUCCAGCCCACACUUUGUCUUAGCUCAUUAAAUGAGCUUGUAGAAAAAUUGGCAAGAAGUCAACAAAGCAAAUUGAACUUGCUGGAGGAGAUUGUCCGAAAGAGAAGAAAUUGGGUUCAUCUUUUCCUCUAUAAUUAUGUACAAAAGUCCAUCAACAUUUAUGAAGGGGUGUACAAAAGUCAAGCCACAUAAAUGACUAUGUGAUGUUAAACUUGUGCCAUACACUGUGAAAGGGAGAAAAGAAGAAAAGGUGAAAGAAAUAAAAGGGUAGAGGCCAUUCGGCCAUUUGGGCAGAGGGCUGAAGAAGUGAAGUCCCGAAGAAAAGAAGUGAAAGUCCCAAAGUGUGAGGACUAGUGCAGUCUUGAAGAGCUGCGUGAGUGAGAGCAAGCAAGAGAGAAGAGAAAAAUAGAGAGAGUAAGAGAAAAUACACAGUGAGGAAGAGAGCAGUGAGUAAAAAGAAAAAGAGAGUUUUUUUUCUCAAAUUGUAUCUCUAAGUGUUGUAAUCUCUAUUUUAUAUAGUGAAAUUAUUCGGAGUUUGUCCCGUGGUUUUUCCCUUCAAGGAGAAAGGGUUUCCACGUAAA